rnacentral:RNase_P_RNA from 1 species
GAAGCAGGCUAAGAUGGUUGCCCCGCUGUUUGAGAGCAUCGGGGAGGAAAGUCCGAGCUCCAGAGGAUAAUGCAUCCUGAUAAUCCAGGACGAUGAUGAUCUUGCCCUGAGGGUAAGUUAAAAUCGGAUUAGAGCUACAGUGACGAUACUUCGACUCGAUUCGACUUUGUCGAAUCUCGCUCAGUAUAAAUGUCCCAUUGGGAAGUUUACCCUGAGCGACGAACGGUAGUGAGGAGUCGAAGGGUGAAACGAGCAAUCUCUGCAUGGAGCAAGGCCAAAUAGGAGGAGAUUUCGGCAAUUUUGUCGAAAGCGAAGUGAUCCGCUUCGUUUGUUCUAUUUUACCAAAGUAUUUUUAUCUUUGGCUUUGAAGAACAGUUCUACGAAGUUCAAUAUGAAAACAAUUGAGCGUAGUAGAAUGUAUCCUCGGGUAGGCUGCAAGAGUUCGGGAUGUGAAUCCUGAAGUGAGUUGAAUAACCAUCACCCAAUUUCUUUUUUGGGGAGACAAAACUCGGCUUAUUAGUCUGCUUCAUGA